CUGUCAUUUAAAUUGUGGGCUCAGCAGACUUUUCUGUAAAGGGUUGGUGGUAAAUAUUUUAGGCUUUAUGGGCCACACAGUCUCUGUUGCAGCU